ensembl:lncRNA
ACAUUUUACUGGGGAUCCUUGUCUACUGGAGGUCUUCUAAAGAGUGGGUUCCCUCCAAACUGAUCCUGCGUGGGCUUCCUGUAGCUCUUCAAGCACAGCACCAACAUGGCUCCAGCUCCAUAGCGUGGGGCCAAUCCUUCAGAACUGCACUGUCCCACUAUGGGCUGCUCUCCACAGGCUGCUGCUCCAUUCUGGAGCUUCUCCUAGAGGGGUACCUGUGGGCUGUGGUUCAUUCAGACCCCCAUCUUCUACUGCUUGUGGUCUCCUCCAUGGUUGCAUGCAGAGAUUUGCUCCAUAUGGUGUCCAUGGGCUGCAGGGGGACAGUCUGGUCUACCACAGGCCUGUCUAGGGAGCUUCUGCUCUGCACCUGGAGCACAGCCUGCCCUCCUACAUUGACCUUGGUGGCUCCAGGGCUGCUUCUCUCCCAUUUCUCACUCCUCUCUCCCACUUGCUGUAAUGCAGCAGUGUUUCCCUUUCUUAAAUCUGCUCUCCCUGAGUAGACCCAGCAUCACUCAUGAAAGCUCUAGCAGUGGCAGGUACCUGCUGGAGCAGCUGCUGUGCUCUGACAUGGGGAAGCGCUGAGUUCUGCUCACAGAAGCCACUCCUGCAGUCCCCUGCUAGCAAAACCUUGCCACAAACUUAAUAAGGUGAUGUGCAUUGUUAAUGCUGAAAUCCAUCUAAACUUGGCAACUACACUCAGUCCUCAUCUCCCUUCCAGCCUAUCUUUGGCAUGGUCAACAUAGCAGUGUGUAGAUCCUUGGGAAAUUGAAAAGCAGAAGUGUAAAUCUAAUAUUUUAAAAAAAACUUUGCAGUCACAAGAAAUUCUGCUCUUGGUCUCAGUGAGACUAAAAUGUCAUUCUGAAUAACUGAGACAGGCUGUCCUGUGGACUCUAAUAAUCCUUUCCAGGAAUAAUCUAUUAUAUUUUUCUGAAAGAUUGUUCAAGCAGUCACAGAAUUUCCAGUUUGCUUCACCAUGUGAGCACUGCAAACAAAAAGCCAUUCACUGACUCUGUAAAGAUAUUUUUAAUAAUUGUUUAUUAAGCCAACAUAAUUUACUAUUCAUAUCUAUAAUACAUUUUCUAUGUAGAAGUUCUAUCUAGAUCACAUCUGUCCAGCAUGUAUUCUAAGCUAACAGAUUAGGAGUCCCUGGAUUGAGCUCUAUUUAGCUGGGCAGAUGUUGGCUGCCUGCUGGAGAGCUUAUACAGUGAUGGUUCUCCAUUAUUUAAGGCAGUAAUAUAGUGGAGCAAGAAUGAAAAGAGGAGCACUAGAGACCAUGCAUCUUCACUGUCUGUGUGAAGUUUUGUAACAUAUAUGAAAAGUCUCCUCAUGUAAUUUACAUUAUUAUUUUACUGUCACUGAUUGGUAGUGAUUUUGGUGAAGCCCUGGGGUGACUUCAUGGAAGACAUUUGUAAAUUUUCAUGUAAAUGAUUGUUUGCUUGAUGAGCAGUAGCAUGAAAAAUAAAUCACCAUCAUUUUAUGACAAUCUCCAUAGUAUGGCAGAGAAAAGACUUUUGCCCCACUAACGCAGAAAUAUAGCAUAAGAAAGAUUCAUGUGCGUAAGAUAGAAACGAGUCUUGCAGGCUCUUUCACAACAGCAUUAAUAACUAUAAGAAACCUUGAGGAGGAAAAAAGAAAAAAGAAGAUUUUUUUUAGCUACUCCCACUGAUUCUAGCAGAUCACGUGUAAAGGCUACAGUGAACAAUGACAUCUACUGAUUUAGAGGCCAGGUAUAUUUAUGAAUGAGUUUGAUCAUGUCACAAGAUUUGAAAAUGUUAGAGAUAAAGUGAUAGGAGAAGGAGGAGGGAGGAGUACCUGGGAGAGUCUAGCUGAAAUUUGUAUUGCCACAAAGUACCACAAUAUUGGGAUAAAAGGUAGAAGUUUCUUUGACCCUAAAUGAAAAGCAUAUCAAGUGGGGAAGGAAACAAAAGUAAUUCAUGUAAGAGAAAUUGCUACAGUUUUUGAAAAGAAAAAGAAGCAGACAUGGCAAUCUAUGGAGAAUUUCCACUGAAAUUUCAAAGUAAAACGUACCACUGUAAUAAAUUAUCCAACUG